rnacentral:rRNA from 1 species
CAGUCGCCACGGGAAUACAGAGGGUGCGAGCGUUAAUCGGAUUUACUGGGCGUAAAGCGUGCGUAGGCGGCUAAUUGAGUCGGAUGUGAAAUCCCCGAGCUUAACUUGGGAAUUGCAUUCGAUACUGGUUAGCUAGAGUGUGGGAGAGGAUGGUAGAAUUCCAGGUGUAGCGGUGAAAUGCGUAGAGAUCUGGAGGAAUACCGAUGGCGAAGGCAGCCAUCUGGCCUAACACUGACGCUGAGGUACGAAAGCAUGGGGAGCAAACAGGAUUAGAUACCCGAGUAGUCCCUGUCUCUUAUAC